rnacentral:lncRNA from 1 species
GGGGGAUCAGAAAGAGAAGGGGUGCUUGCAGAAAAAAAAAAGGGGGGGAGGGAGAGAGCUGGUUUUUGAUUCAGUUGGGGUCCAUAUUCACAAAGGAUCACUCAGAAAUUUUGUACAAAUGGCAGGAGCAGAAUGCGAGCACAACAAGGGGCCUAAUACAGGCACUUGUCCUGUAAUCAAAGAUUCAGCUCAACGUGAGUCCUUUGUGAGACAGCAGCAUCAUUCUCCACCCGGGCUAACCCCUGAAUGCAGAGCAGUUCUGUAAAGCAAGGCAGGAUGAACCUCGCAUUUCUUUGUCUUGUUUGGAAAAUAUGUUUGCUUGUUAUUGUUGUUGUUGUUUUUUUUUUUUUCUCUUUUUUUUUUCUCUUUGUUUAUUUCCUUUCUAAAGAAAACAUGUUCUCAACGUGUCUCUAGUAAAGCAGAGGAUGUUUGUGUGAGGGGAGGCACUCGCAAGGAGAGGAGAGCAGCAGAUGGGCUGACAUGGUGGGGUGAGCGCCGCUCCAGCCUGCCUUUGGUGAGAGAGUGCAGAAGCAUAGCUGACGUCUCCAGGCCAGCGAGCGCACCAUGGGCAUCCUCUUCUGCGUUUCCAGAUGUCUCCAGAUCAGUGCUGGAUGCCUUUCCAAUAGGCAAAUACAAGUGAUUAACUUUGCAGAACGUCUGUGGGUUGAAAUUCAGACAAAGAUAAAGUGGCUCAUACUGGCCUUCAGAGCUCAAAACAUCACAUAUAGAAAAUUCUGGAAUCCUGGACCUUGAUGUGCUGUACUUAACAAGUAAGGAGCUUUAGCUGCUUUUGAAAGAAGAAAAUGCCUCUUAAAAAGUGUUUCAAAUGAGCAUUGCCCACUGUGAAGUGCCUGUCAAAAUUAACAGGAAAGGCAUAAUUGAUUCCCUGAGAGUCAUACACGGAAA